rnacentral:lncRNA from 1 species
AUACCAUUCUGCAUUUUUCAAAUUUUCUACAAUGGACACGGAUUACUUUCAUAAUGAAGAAAAUAAAACUCACUUCCAAUUUCAACACUCAGAGUUGACCAGAAUUCACAUUCUGAAGUAGAAGUUCCAGGUGAAGCGCCAUACACAUUUGGGAGGCUCCUGAUGUGGAGGACACAGUGGCCGGGAUCACCCUUCUGAAACGUCAGCAUGGCCUCAGGAACCACGUCCUGACUGUCUGGGAGUCUCUCACUCUUAUUCCCAGGGGGACCAAGAUGGGGAAACCAAGGGAAGAGAAGACCAGGUGAAGACAUGAGAAAGACAAGCAAGAGAUAAGGAUCAGCCACCACUCCUUUUACUCCUAAGGAAAUGGAGGCCCACGAAAGAUGAGAGCUACAUGACUAAUGAGUGGUAGAGCAUGGAUUCUGGCCCGGGUCUGCGGGGCUCCCAGCCCAUGCCAGUGUGAACAGAAGGAAUUCCUCUGGAAAGGCAAUUGCAUAUCAGUCCCAGCUCUUCCUGGGGCAGAAAGCUGACACCUGCACUUAGAGAAGGAAGCCAUCCUGUGGGCAGAGGGCCGAGCAUUUCCCCUAAAGCCAUCUCCCUCUUCUUUCAAGCCAGGCUUAAAUAUCCAAACCGCAAAGGAAGAUGAAAGAAGCUUGUUGAUGAAGUCCUCCACCCUGGGAAGAGGAAGAUAAAAAAAAGAGAAAGAAAG